UGACCAUCGAGGAGAAAUCUUCGUACCAGAAUUGGGGAUGACUUUUCAAGUACAGCAUGAAAAGACAAAGAUUUUUGGAUGUCAGAAUCCUUUUAGACAAGGAGGUGGUAGGAAGGGCUUACCCAGGUCUUUCCUUAACAGAUUUACUCAGGUUUUUGUGGAUCCUCUUACAGUAAUUGAUAUGGAAUUUAUUGCCAGUACUUUGUUUCCAGCCAUUGACAAAACUAUUGUUAAGAAAAUGGUCGUUUUUAAUAACCAAAUUGAUCACAAAGUGACUGUUGAGAAGAAAUGGGGCCAAAAAGGAGGACCCUGGGAGUUCAGCCUCCGGGA